AGAGUUUGAUCCUGGCUCAGGAUGAACGCUGGCGGCGUGCCUAACACAUGCAAGUCGAACGGAGUUACGAUGAAACCUAGUGAUUCGUAACUUAGUGGCGGACGGGUGAGUAACGCGUGGAUAACCUGCCUUGCACUGGGGGAUAACACUUAGAAAUAGGUGCUAAUACCGCAUAAGCGCACGGAGCCGCAUGGCUCAGUGUGAAAAACUCCGGUGGUGUAAGAUGGAUCCGCGUCUGAUUAGCUGGUUGGCGGGGUAGAAGCCCACCAAGGCGACGAUCAGUAGCCGGCCUGAGAGGGUGAACGGCCACAUUGGGACUGAGACACGGCCCAAACUCCUACGGGAGGCAGCAGUGGGGAAUACUGCACAAUGGGGGAAACCCUGAUGCAGCAACGCCGCGUGAGUGAAGAAGUCAUUCGUGAUGUAAAGCUCUAUCAGCAGGGAAGAAAAUGACGGUACCUGAGUAAGAAGCCCCGGCUAACUACGUG
rnacentral:rRNA from 1 species